rnacentral:rRNA from 1 species
UACGAAGGGGGCUAGCGUUGUUCGGAAUUACUGGGCGUAAAGCGCACGUAGGCGGGUUGUUAAGUCAGGGGUGAAAUCCUGGAGCUCAACUCCAGAACUGCCUUUGAUACUGGCAACCUAGAGACUGGAAGAGGUUAGUGGAAUUCCCAGUGUAGAGGUGAAAUUCGUAGAUAUUGGGAAGAACACCAGUGGCGAAGGCGGCUAACUGGACCGAGACUGACGCUGAGGCGCGAAAGCGUGGGGAGCAAACAGG